rnacentral:tRNA from 1 species
AGAUCGAUAAGUUAAAUAAACUGUGGGGUUCAUGUCUCCUUAAUACAUAAUGUGUAUGUUCGGUUGA